GAGAAAGUGUCUCUGGGAGGAAAAAGAAAGCACAACGCCAUCAGUGAUGUCAGGAGGACAGGAGAAAGGACAUUAUCUGAACAUGUUUACCUGAUCUUGCCAAGCCCAUCAAUUUCCAGGAGAUGCCAGCAGAGAUUAAUAGCCAUUUAUGAAAUCUCGAAUUAAGCAAAAUACUGGCUCCAUCUGAGAAUUUAAAGGAAAGGAGGUGUGCUGAGUCGGGGAACCAUUAACCAGGUCAUGCCCCAUGCUGCAAACAUUUAACCCAUAAUUUCUUUAUGCCAGGCACACUCUUUGCCCAGGAGCAGCCAUGGACGACAUCAUCCCUGCCCCAAAGAGUUCCUGGUGUAUAAUGGAGAUAGGUGCACAAAAAAUACGUUUUCGAUAGAGUGAGAUAAUAGCAACUAACGAGAUGAGGAAAUGGGCUCUCCGAGAAGGCAAACGGCUUGUCCCAACCCAGGGGGCUGGUAGUAACGGAGCUGAGAGCCACAGCCAGUUCUCUCUGCCUCUGAGUCUGGAGUCGUAAGCAGAGCUAUUGCCAAGGAUUCGGCUCCUGGUGGUGGCCGGAAAUCUUUGACGUUCCUUGGCCUGAAACUGCG
rnacentral:lncRNA from 1 species